rnacentral:misc_RNA from 1 species
AGAAGGUGAAGUUGUCAUAUCUUUUUGGUUCAAAGUUCAGUUUUUUACUUGUUGAUUAUAUUGAGGCUGAUUAGUAGGGUGAGCAUUAAAUAUCCGACUCCAUUUUACAUGGACUUCUCUCUCUUUUAGCUUUCUCCUUGUAGAUGUCUAAAGCUGUUUUCCUAUGCUACCACAUGGGUCAUUUCCUAUAGGGGAAUGCUGCCUCCCUCUCCCCCCUGCAGGCCCCCUUUCCUCUCUUCUCCCUCUUUUUUACUCGUCCCUUUUUGUACAAGUGGAUCUAGAUUAUUGUCCAUCUUCUCUGAUCCUUGUUAUUUUUUCAUGCUUGUGUUGAGUAAUUCUCCUGUGUCUCCACCUUUUGGGGGACGAGCACUCCAUUGGGAGCAUAAAAUAUAUCCUUGUAGAUUUUUUUUUUUGGUUGGGAGCUG